GAUGAACGCUGGCGGCGUGCCUAACACAUGCAAGUCGUACGAGUCCGAUCUUCGGAAAGGGCUAGUGGCGCACGGGUGAGUAACACGUGGGUGACCUACCUCAGAGUGGGGGAUAACUUCUCGAAAGAGAGGCUAAUACCGCAUAUGCUUGAUGAUUCAUUUGAUCAAGUAAAGCUCCGGCGCUCUGAGACGGGCCCGCGGCCGAUUAGCUAGUUGGUGGGGUAAUGGCCUACCAAGGCGAUGAUCGGUAGCUGGUCUGAGAGGACGAUCAGCCACACUGGCACUGACACACGGGCCAGACUCCUACGGGAGGCAGCAGUGAGGAAUAUUGGGCAAUGGGCGAAAGCCUGACCCAGCAACGCCGCGUGGAGGAUGAAGGCCCUCGGGUUGUAAACUCCUUUUCUGGGAGAAGAGACAAGGACGGUAUCCCAGGAAUAAGUCUCGGCUAACUACGUGCCAGCAGCCGCGGUAAAACGUAGGAGGCUAGCGUUAUCCGGAUUCACUGGGCGUAAAGCGCACGCAGGCGGUUAUGUAAGUCGGACGUGAAAGCUCCCGGCUCAACUGGGAGAAGUCGUUCGAUACUGCGUAACUUGAGGUUGGGAGAGGGGAGCGGAACUCCCGGUGUAGUGGUGGAAUGCGUAGAUAUCGGGAGGAACACCAGUGGCGAAAGCGGCUCCCUGGCCCAUACCUGACGCUCAGGUGCGAAAGCGUGGGUAGCGAACGGGAUUAGAUACCCCGGUAGUCCACGCUGUAAACGAUGCGAACUAGGUGUCGGUAGUAUUAAUCCUAUCAGUGCCGAAGCUAACGCGAUAAGUUCGCCGCCUGGGGACUACGGCCGCAAGGCUA
rnacentral:rRNA from 1 species